UACGGAAGGCAGCAGUGGGGAAUAUUGCACAAUGGGCGCAAGCCUGAUGCAGCCAUGCCGCGUGUAUGAAAAAGGCCUUCGGGUUGUAAAGUACUUUCAGUCGUGAGGAAGGUGUUAAGGUUAAUAACCUUAGCAAUUGACGUUAGCGACAGAAGAAGCACCGGCUAACUCCGUGCCAGCAGCCGCGGUAAUACGGAGGGUGCGAGCGUUAAUCGGAAUUACUGGGCGUAAAGGGCACGCAGGCGGUUAAUUAAGUUGGAUGUGAAAUCCCCGGGCUUAACCUGGGAAUGGCAUUCAAGACUGGUUAGCUAGAGUCUUGUAGAGGGGGUUAGAAUUCCAUGUGUAGCGGUGAAAUGCGUAGAGAUGUGGAGGAAUACCGGUGGCGAAGGCGGCCCCUGGACAAAGGACUGACGCUCAUGUGCGAAAGCGUGGGGAGC
rnacentral:rRNA from 1 species